rnacentral:rRNA from 1 species
UACAGAGGGUGCAAGCGUUGUUCGGAAUUAUUGGGCGUAAAGCGCGUGUAGGCGGUUUCGCAAGUCGGGUGUGAAAGCCCUCAGCUCAACUGAGGAAGUGCGCCCGAAACUGCGGAGCUUGAGUACCGGAGAGGAUGGUGGAAUUCCCCAAGUAGAGGUGAAAUUCGUAGAUAUGGGGAGGAACACCGGUGGCGAAGGCGACCAUCUGGACGGAUACUGACGCUGAGACGCGAAAGCGUGGGCAGCAAACAGG